ACGCUCGCGGCGAUUCCACGACAAGGAACUUCGUAACAGACUCGCGCGCGCAUCGGGCAUGCCCAACAACCUGGGCCGAGCCCUAUUCUGCCCCUGCGCUCGGCACCCUGCCUUAUAUAUACUCCUCCCCGGUUGCCCUAGUUCAUGGAAUUAGAUGAGGAGUUGAAGAACGAAGCUCAGGGAGGGCAUGUUGUUGCGCCGCGGUACUGUCGAGUGCGUGGGCGAGGAUGGUGGGUGCCUUAAAAUCAGGUAAUGUGUCCCUAGAUGUAUUUGUUUUGUCCUUCGCGUGGGGUAGCUUUAGUAGACGUUGAGCCUGGGAAAUCGGAGACUCCAUGGGGCCUUGCCAUCCAUGGCGCCGCUGCCGUGGGCUCGGGCGCCGUCGGGUCUGGCCGGUAGGAGGAAGAAGCACUGGAGCCGUUGGAUCAAAGUCGUAUGACUCGGAUUAGGCGCAGGUAUACCACUUCGUUCAUCCGCCCUGGACCGUUGGAUGUUAGAUGGUCGUUUAGGAGUAAAUCCAUGAACUGGUGGGGGAACUUUAAUAUGAACCGUAGAUCUCUCAUGAACGCCCGAGAUUAGAUCUAGGUGUUUUAAUUCUGGGCCGUUGUGGUAGAUCGGAUGGUCCAGCCAGCUUCGUACCCCCCUUCGGUCGCCUAUUAUGCUAAAGAGACCCUGGGGUUUUACAAAAUUAACCCGCCGUCCACGGAAAGCACAUAGUAAUUGCAGUUGUACCCUAAAUUUACAAAUUGACCCCCAAACUCCCUGGUUAUUGUGUGCACAGUUUAGAAGCUUAGGAAAUUAAUGGAAAUGAUAUAGAAAAUGGUUUUUGUGCAUAAAAAUAUAUCUAGAACUUAUUUAAUUCAUAGAAAUUCCAUUGUAACUCCUUUUUAAUCCGUUUCAGUUGCAUUAAUUUUGUUUCAAUGUUGUCUAUCAUCUAGUAACUCUGUUUAGUCAUGAAACCUAUAUCAAAAUUAUCCACUUGAUUUAUUCUAUACCAGACAUUUAAUAUUUUCGGAAAAUCGUAACUCGAUAACCGUAACUCCGAAUUUAGUGGUUCUCAAACCUAGGGUCUCGUUAAGACGUGUAGAAUAUUCUUAUGUAGUUUGUUCUUAUGUUUGGUGUGAUGUUAAUUUUGCCUAUACACUGUUUGUCUGUAUUGCUACGACGAGCAGCGAGGUUGCGAGUCAUCUAAAGCUCAUCCUGGUACCUGGAAUCUCAAGUCCCAGGCAAGUUGUGCCCUUGAUCACUUCCUUUUACCCAAUCAUGUUCUUAUUAAUCAUAAUGAUCUGCAUAGGUUAAUUUUGAUGGGACCCAAUAGGUUACCCUAGUUUGACUAUCUUUAUACCUUGUUUACCACUGAAUUUUUGGGUAGUACACGCUAUUGCUUUAUGUGGUUUUGGGUAUGGAGAUACACAAUAUUCAUGAUCAUACAUUUAUUAUCAGUUUGUUAUUUAUUGUUCAUGAUAAGAUCAUUAUGUUAAUUGUAACAUGGAGAACCACCCGCGAAAACAAUGCUACCACAAGGGUGGUAUGGGACGCCCUUGGCUGACUAAUUAUGAAAGCUAGUGGAGGACUACCUUACCCGAAAGGGGCAAGGGCAGUAGAGGAGUGGUCAGUGUAGGGAGGACCUUGGGUUGAUUUUGCUACGAUGGCGGUCAGGCAAGGGGUCCCUGCAUUCGAGCUUCCUAGAAACUGUAGCGGGUUUUCUAAAGCUAGUGGAACUUUGUAAAGGCCUCGUAGUGUCACCCUGCCUCGCCUCCUCGGUAGAGGUGUAUAGGAUUCAUGACCCCUUGGCAGAUGGGUAACACGACUUGUGCGUAAAGAUGCGCAACCUCUGCAGAGUGUAAAACUGGUAUACUAGCCGUGCUCACGGUCAUGAGCAGCUCGGACAAUCACAUGAUUAAUUUAUGGAACUAAACUUAAUUUUUCAUAUGCAUUGCAUCGCGGGUGUUGAUAUCAAUUUUGUUCUACUAUUUAAUUGGGUAGGUAUUUACUUAUACUUAGUAAUUGCUAAUAAAAUUUUGACCAACUUUAAAAGCAAUGAUCAUCUUCAACCAUUCUCUUUGGUAAGCCUUACACUUCACAUGAGCUCCCACCUUUGGCGAGUUCAUGCACAUUAUUCCCCACAACUUGUUGAGCGAUGAACGUAUGUGAGCUCACUCUUGCUGUCUCACACCCCCCACAGGUCAAGAACAGAUACCGUAGGAUGAGGCGCAUGGAGGAUGCUGUGACGAGUUCGUGAGAGGUCUAGGUCGUCGCCUUCCAGUCAAAUUUGGGUUGCUAGAUCGUUGUCUCCUUAUGAUGUAAUUAUUUAUUUAUUUUGUACAGAACUCCUAUUAUAUAGUAAAGAUGUG
rnacentral:lncRNA from 1 species